ensembl:lncRNA
AAAAGAACUAAGAGUGACGUCUGUCUUUGGUGUUCAGAUUCUCCUUUUUUGUCCGGACCUCCUAAUGCCUCCCUACUGAAGGAUGCAUCCCACCGAAAUGCCGGUUGAAGCAGAGUUUGUGGAGCCAGCGCACCGAUGAACUGAGAAGAACCUCUCCUUAUAUGCCCCCCCAAAAGCCCCUCGGGGUCAGGGGAGCUUAAAACCCUUCCUCCUGUGGAAGCAUCUGGUUCAUCUUAUAGAAGAUCAACAAGAAGAGCAGAUAUCUAUUAACUUUGGCCCUAUAUAAGGUGAGAUGCUGAGCUGCCAUUCGUUGCCGUGGUGCCUAUGCAAUGACAAUUCAGUCUAAUCUGAUCAAAUUAGUUGACUUGUGAGUCAUUAGGCCAACAAACAAUGCUUGCAUGCUCCACACAAAUGAAAACACACAGCUGUACAUUACAUUUAAUUUGAGAUUAAAUGCCUCCAUUUGAAAAUAAUGGAUUGACCUUUGUGGAUAUUUUAUUUCCUCAUGAAAGGUUUUUGCAGUGGACCGCGAGUCAUCCUGAGUCACCGCGACACUGUUAAUGGGUACAGUCACUGUGCUAAUAUGGCUCCAAUCUUUAUGGUCUUGAACUUAUAAAUGGACUUUAUUCAUGGGGGUCAUACACACUCUGAUAAGAACAGAAUAUCAGAACAAACAUCUACAUCUUUGCAGACUUGAUUGAGCUUGGCGUGAACUGGUUGAUAUUUAGUUUCCAGAGAACUGCAGAAAUGUAAUUGUUGGAAUUAUGACCCACUUUCUCCACGGAAAGAUCCACCUGACUCAGCUACUGAUCAAUGUUUCAAGUCAGGAGAGUUUAGUAUUCAAAGAUUCACACGCUGCAUACCGUGUGCGCAAAAUAAAUAUAUUUUGAAAAAAAAACAUUAGCCUCACAACUAUUCCAUACAUUCUUGGUCAUUACCUUAAUCGGAUGACUUUCAGUGAUUGGAGUCAGCCCCGCUUGCUUUUGAAUGCAAUUAAAUAUGUCUGUUAGUAAGCAAGGAUUGUCAAUUAGCACUUCCAAGUUUCCCAUUAUUUAAAGACCUACAUUCAUCACACGGACACAUAAAAUGCAGUACGCUAAAUAAAUGAUAAUGUAGCUUAGUUUCUGAUGGAUGUGCAAAUAAGCAGUUACUUGUGAAAAUGUAAUUUGUCAAUGUCAAUGUAUCUAAAACCAAUAUUCCAAGUUUGAUGGAAAAAAAAAACGGAAUCCCAGACCAACUCUUGGUUAUUUGAGCCAGGUCGCAGCAGACCCUCACACCACAUAACAGGCUUAAAAUUACUUCCCAAAGUCGCGCAUUAAUUCUGCAUCACAAAUCAGUGUAACGACACAAAGUCACUGUUGACACCUUUUGUAUAUCCAACAGAGCGAGCAACCAUCUUCAGAUUGACACAUGACAAUGACGAUGGUCUCGCAUCAAAGCGUUGAAGCAGGGGACUUCAUCUGCAUCCGUCUUCUCCCCGAGAGAACAACAACAAGUCGCACCAUGUCGUCCACGUCUCCUUCUUGACAUAUAAAUUGUCAGCAGCGGUGCCAGACACUCUAGAUACGAUUCAGCCAUUGUCUCCGGUCCUUGACUCGGCUCCCCAUAGCAUGCAUCAGGAGGCCAAUGAACAGCAAUCUGGCCUUGCCCCCUUCAAUGCUUUGUGAGUCUGUCGCGCAUAAUGCAUUGCAGCAGCAGGACAGCGG